GCGGCUGGAAAUGGCGGUGUGCGGUGGUGGUAUACCUGUUGCAUUUGGGAUUUCACUGAGAGAAUAAGAAGGAAUCGACGAUGGACUGCUACGCAACUAUUGCACCAGUGAAGGAUGUCUGUGUGCCGGUUUGUGCUCAGUUUCUCAGCCAGCGGGCCUGAGAAAGUGUGCCACAGCAGUCUGUCUAGUGGUGCUCUUUGUUCUGGAAGGACGCAAGCAUUGCAAGGAGCCAUUUGACCUGCCGCCACACUAAUAUUGUAUUUGGCAAAGCCGAAAGCCUCUGCAAGCAGCCAGUCAUUCCAAGUCUCAACCAAUCCUUCCUCUCGUCAGCCAAUUUCUAGUGUCUAUGCGGAGAGGACUUGCACAAGAGUGGACACGGGACACUAAAAAGGCGACAAGGACAGACGUAAACUUCCAACCGGUGUUCAUUACAAAAAGGUAUGUAUAUGUACUCUUGCACACUUGAUCAUAAUCUGUUACAAUCGUGCAAGUCAACAUGGCCAUCACAAAUAAACGAGCGCACCAAGGCCUAAGGCGGCUUCCUGCAUACAGACCCCAGAUAUUCAAAUUCUUUAACAGUCAGUGCUAUAGGGAUGGCUUGCUAACGCAGUUGCAUUCUGCAAUAGCCGCUGCCUCAAUGAUGAGUCUAGUGUUUUCUUUCACACUGCUUGCUAUUAUUUCUGUUUUUUCA